AUUGAACGCUGGCGGGAGGCCUAACACAUGCAAGUCGAACGGAUGGCGUGCGGGUGAGUACUGUAUGUGAAACUGCCUGAGGGAGGAGGACACCUACUGGAAGCUGUUGCUAAUAACGCAUACCAUCGGCUGUGCCGGGAUGGGAUUAGCUAGUAGGUUGGGUAAAGGCUCACCAAGGCGACGAUCCGUAGCUGGUUUGAGAGGAUGACCAGCCACACUGGAACUGAGACACGGCCCAGACUCCUACGGGAGGCAGCAGUGGGGAAUAUUGGACAAUGGGCGCAAGCCUGAUGCAGCCAUGCCGCGUGUAUGAAGAAGGCCUUCGGGUUGUAAAGUACUUUUAGCAGGUAGGCGGUACCUGCAGAAGAAGCACCGGCUAACUACGUGCCAGCAGCCGCGGUAAUAC
rnacentral:rRNA from 1 species